rnacentral:rRNA from 1 species
CCUACGGGUGGCAGCAGUGGGGGAUAUUGCACAAUGGGGGAAACCCUGAUGCAGCGACGCCGCGUGGGCGAAGAAGUAUUUCGGUAUGUAAAGCACUAUCAGCAGGGAAGAAGAAAUGACGGUACCUGAGUAAGAAGCACCGGCUAAAGACGUGCCAGCAGCCGCGGUAAUACGUAUGGUGCAAGCGUUAUCCGGAUUUACUGGGUGUAAAGGGAGCGUAGACGGGUGGUGAAGUCUGAAGUGAAAGCCCAGGGCUCAACCCUGGGACUGCAUUGGAUACUGUGGAGCUAGAGUGCUGGAGAGGUGAGUGGAAUUCCAGGUGUAGCGAUGAAAUGCGUAGAUAUUAGGAGGAACACCAGUGGCGAAGGCGGCUUACUGGAC